UCCCCGAUAGCUCAAUGGCAGAGCAAUUCGCUGUUAACGAAAAGGUUCUAGGUUCGAGUCCUAGUCGGGGAGCCA
rnacentral:tRNA from 1 species